rnacentral:lncRNA from 1 species
CUGGAAUGAAUGAUGCUAGAAUCAAGGCAUAGGCGGGCUUGCCCUGGUGGAAGGGGAAGAAACGCAGCCCACAGCUUGAUAGAGCAUCAAUUUGCUGGCAUUUCUUCAGCACCAUUAGUGAUAAAUCUUACACAAAGAACAAUGAAAUUACCUUUCAUUGUCUCGUUUCACUUUGCAAUUUGAUUCUUGAUCAAGGUUGCUACAUGGUGGCCGGCCCACGAGGAGCCAGCUUCAGUGCAGCAGAAAGCAUGCAUGUGGCCCUCUCUUUCGAUUGAUAA